rnacentral:lncRNA from 1 species
UUCAUUGCAGAGACAGGUAUGGAGAACAAAGCUUUGUGCAAGGGUAAACCCAUUUACAGGAAAACAUCUAAUCUAUGAUUCUGAAGAUAAUGGUUUCAGAAUAUGAACAAUGAAGUCCUAGCCAAAAAAAAAAAAAAAAAAAAAAAAAAAAACCAAGUAAAUAAGUUUAUACUUGUAUCUAUGCUUUAAUAACCAUAGGUAUUCAGCAUUAAUGGUCAUUUCUGAUAAAAUAGACUAGUGUUCAAGUUUUUAAAAUUAAAGGGACUAUUCAGUGGUUCAUGAUAUUCUCACAAGUUGAGUCACUUCCAUUCUGUAAUUUCAGGACAUCUUUCUUUCUCUCUCUUUCUUUCUUUCUUUCUUUCUUUCUUUCUUUCUUUCUUUCUUUCUUCCUUCCUUUCUUUCUUUCUUUCUUUUAGAUUUAUUUAUUAUUAAACACAAGUACACUGUAGCUAUCUUCAGACACACCAGAAGAGGGCAUCAGAUUUCAUUAUGGGUGGUUGUGAGGAAAUUUUUCAUUAUCCAUAGAAAAGCCCUUUGUACAUAUUAGCAUCCUCCCAUUCCUCUGACUCUGUCAAUCACCAGUCUCUUUUCACUGUGCAUUUGCCAAUUCUUUACAUUGCAGAUCAAUGGAAAAAUAAGACAUGUGGCCCUUUGUAACUUCAUUUCAUUUAGCAUAAUGUUCUAAAGGUUCAUGUUGUAUGUUCAAGGUCCUUUUUGUGGCUGAAAAAUAUUUUGCCAUAUGAUUAAAACCUUAUCUUGCUUAUUGGUUGAUGGACAUUUCAGCUUCCUUUUUUUUGGCUACUAAGAAUAGUGCUGUCCUAAAAACAUACAAACUCAUGUGCCAAUAAAUUUUCAGUACUCUUGGGUAGAUGCUUAGGAGUGGAAUUGCUGGAUCUUUGUUUGCUUUUUUGAGGAAAUGAUGUUCACUUUACGUUUGACUGAUGUAUGACUACUUUGACUUCUUCAUGUCCUUACCAAUAUUAAUUUAUUUUUUUUGCCCUAGUGGUGUGAAGUGUUUUCUUGUGGUUUGGGGAAAAUAAUUUAUAUAGUUAAAAUCUAUACCUUAUCCCACAGAUCAGCAUUUUUUUUUUCUGCAAGGGAAAAGUUGUAUUUUAAACUGUGUUCAAUAUCAUUUCCGCUGCAACUACUCAGCCACCGAUGACUGUAAUGUGGAAGGAGCUAUAGAUGAUUUGUAGGCAAAUGUGUGUGGAUGUGUCCAAUAAAGUUUUACAUAUGGACUCUGAUUUUUUAAAAAUUGUAUUUCACAGUGAAAAUUACAGAAGAUUCAGUUUCAUUUUUUAAAGUAAGCCAGACUGGUGGUGCUUACUUGUAAAUCUCAGCGCUUAGAGGCAGUAACAGGAUGAUUGCCACAAGUUCCAAUCAGCAUGGACUACAUAAACUCAGUUGCAAAAACC